rnacentral:rRNA from 1 species
UGAACGCUGGCGGCAGGCCUAACACAUGCUAGUCGAACGGUAACAGGAAGAAGCUUGCUUCUUUGCUGACGAGUGGCGGACGGGUGAGUAAUGUCUGGGAAACUGCCUGAUGGAGGGGGAUAACUACUGGAAACGGUAGCUAAUACCGCAUAACGUCGCAAGACCAAAGAGGGGGACCUUCGGGCCUCUUGCCAUCGGAUGUGCCCAGAUGGGAUUAGCUUGUUGGUGGGGUAACGGCUCACCAAGGCGACGAUCCCUAGCUGGUCUGAGAGGAUGACCAGCCACACUGGAACUGAGACACGGUCCAGACUCCUACGGGAGGCAGCAGUGGGGAAUAUUGCACAAUGGGCGCAAGCCUGAUGCAGCCAUGCCGCGUGUAUGAAGAAGGCCUUCGGGUUGUAAAGUACUUUCAGCGGGGAGGAAGGGAGUAAAGUUAAUACCUUUGCUCAUUGACGUUACCCGCAGAAGAAGCACCGGCUAACUCCGUGCCAGCAGCCGCGGUAAUACGGAGGGUGCAAGCGUUAAUCGGAAUUACUGGGCGUAAAGCGCACGCAGGCGGUUUGUUAAGUCAGAUGUGAAAUCCCCGGGCUCAACCUGGGAACUGCAUCUGAUACUGGCAAGCUUGAGUCUCGUAGAGGGGGGUAGAAUUCCAGGUGUAGCGGUGAAAUGCGUAGAGAUCUGGAGGAAUACCGGUGGCGAAGGCGGCCCCCUGGACGAAGACUGACGCUCAGGUGCGAAAGCGUGGGGAGCAAAAAGGAUUAGAUACCCUGGUAGUCCACGCCGUAAACGAUGUCGACUUGGAGGUUGUGCCCUUGAGGCGUGGCUUCCGGAGCUAACGCGUUAAGUCGACCGCCUGGGGAGUACGGCCGCAAGGUUAAAACUCAAAUGAAUUGACGGGGGCCCGCACAAGCGGUGGAGCAUGUGGUUUAAUUCGAUGCAACGCGAAGAACCUUACCUGGUCCUGACAUCCACGGAAGUUUUCAGAGAUGAGAAUGUGCCUUCGGGAACCGUGAGACAGGUGCUGCAUGGCUGUCGUCAGCUCGUGUUGUGAAAUGUUGGGUUAAGUCCCGCAACGAGCGCAACCCUUAUCCUUUGUUGCCAGCGGUCCGGCCGGGAACUCAAAGGAGACUGCCAGUGAUAAACUGGAGGAAGGUGGGGAUGACGUCAAGUCAUCAUGGCCCUUACGACCAGGGCUACACACGUGCUACAAUGGCGCAUACAAAGAGAAGCGACCUCGCGAGAGCAAGCGGACCUCAUAAAGUGCGUCGUAGUCCGGAUUGGAGUCUGCAACUCGACUCCAUGAAGUCGGAAUCGCUAGUAAUCGUGGAUCAGAAUGCCACGGUGAAUACGUUCCCGGGCCUUGUACACACCGCCCGUCACACCAUGGGAGUGGGUUGCAAAAGAAGUAGGUAGCUUAACCUUCGGGAGGGCGCUUACCACUUUGUGAUUCAU